AAGAAAGUACCUAAGAGCGCAUGGUGGAUGCCUUGGCUCUCAGAGGCGAAGAAGGACGCGACAAGCUGCGAAAAGCUUCGGGGAGGUGCAAAUAACCUUCGAUCCGGAGAUAUCCGAAUGGGGCAACCCUCCAGGCUGAAGGCCUGGAAUCCCGAGCAAUCGGGAAGCUAACCCGGGGAACUGAAACAUCUUAGUACCCGGAGGAAUAGAAAACAAUAGUGAUUUCCCAAGUAGUGGCGAGCGAACGGGAAACAGCCCAAAUCAAGGUGGUUACGGCCAUCUUGAGGUUGUAGGACUGCAAUACUGGACUUUGGAUGCGUAACAGAACACUUCUGGAAAGAAGGACCAUAGAAGGUGAUAGUCCUGUAAGUAAAACAAUUCCAUUACCAAGCAGUAUCCUGAGUACCGCGGGACCGGAGAAAUCCUGUGGGAAUCUGCCAGCACCAUCUGGCAAGGCUAAAUACUCCUGAGAGACCGAUAGCGAACUAGUACCGUGAGGGAAAGGUGAAAAGAACUUCGAACAGAAGAGUGAAAUAGUACCUGAAACCGUGCGCUUACAACCUGUCGGAGUCCCGACUUGUCGGGAUGACGGCGUGCCUUUUGCAUAAUGAGCCUACGAGUUACUCCUCUCUAGCAAGGUUAAUCCGCUCAAGCGGAGCAGCCGGAGCGAAAGCAAGUCUGAAUAGGGCGUUCAGUUAGAGGGGGUAGACGCGAAACUUUGUGAUCUACCCAUGACCAGGUUGAAGUUCCGGUAACACGGGAUGGAGGACCGAACCAGUUUACGUUGAAAAGUGCUUGGAUGAGUUGUGGGUAGGGGUGAAAGGCUAAUCAAACUGAGAGAUAGCUCGUACUCUCCGAAAUGCUUUUAGGAGCAGCCUCGAUUAUAGUGUCAUAGAGGUAGAGCUACUGAUUGGACUAGGGGGCUUCACCGCCUACCAAAUCCUGACAAACUCCGAAUACUAUGACAUGUUCUUCGGGAGUAAGGCCGCGGGUGCUAAGGUCCGUGGCCGAGAGGGAAACAACCCUGACUAUCAGCUAAGGUCCCCAAAUAUAUGCUAAGUUGAUCAAACGAGGUUCGAUUGCAGUGACAGCUAGGAUGUUGGCUUGGAAGCAGCCAUUCAUUUAACGAGUGCGUAACAGCUCACUAGUCGAGCGAUCGAGCGUGGAUAAUAACCGGGCAUUAAGCAUAUUACCGAAGCUGUAGUCCCGACACAUCCGUGUCGGGAGGUAGGAGAGCAUUCCAGUGGCAUCGAAGGUGGGUCGUAAGGCCUGCUGGAGCGACUGGAAAAGAAAAUGUAGGCAUAAGUAACGAUAAUGCGGGCGAGAAACCCGCACACCGAAAGACUAAGGCUUCCGGAUCAACGCUAAUCGGAUCCGGGUUAGUCGGACCCUAAGGCCAACCCGAAAGGGGUAACCGAUGGAAAACAGGUUAAUAUUCCUGUACCAGCAAGCAUUGCGAUGGGGUAACGAAGGAGUGACAAACCCGCGUACUGACGGAAUAGUACGUUGAAGGGUGUAGGUAUACGCCCGGCAGGUAAAUCCGCCGGAUGUGCUGAAACCUGAUAGUACCGUGAGUCUUCGGACAAGCGGAUAGUGGUUGUAAGCUGACUUCCAAGAAAAACCUCUAAGCUUCAGAUGUUUGCUGUCCGUACCGUAAACCGACACAGGUAGUCGAGGUGAAUAUCCAUAGGUGCUCGAGUGAAUCAUGGCUAAGGAACUAGGCAAAUUAGUCCUGUAACUUCGGAAUAAAGGACUCCCGAGAAAUCGGGACGCAGAGAAAUGGCCCAAGCGACUGUUUAUCAAAAACACAUGGCCCUGCUAAAUCGUUAAGAUGACGUAUAGAGCCUGACACCUGCCCGGUGCUGGAAGGUUAAGAGGUGGGGUUAUCCUGAGUAAUCGGGAGAAGCUCUAAAUUGAAGCCCCAGUAAACGGCGGCCGUAACUAUAACGGUCCUAAGGUAGCGAAAUUCCUUGUCGGGUAAGUUCCGACCUGCACGAAUGGUGUAACGAUUUGGGCACUGUCUCAGCCAUGAGCUCGGUGAAAUUGUAGUCCCGGUGAAGAUGCCGGGUACCCGCAACGGGACGGAGAGACCCUGUGAACCUUCACUAUAACUUAACAUUGACAUCGGGUAAGCGAUGUGUAGGAUAGGUGGGAGACUGCGAAGCCGCGGCGCUAGCCGUGGUGGAGUCGUCCUUGAAAUACCACCCUUUGCUUGCCUGAUGCCUAAUUCCCGAUUUAAUCGGGAAGACAUUGUUUGGUGGGUAGUUUGACUGGGGUGGUCGCCUCCAAAAAUGUAUCGGAGGCUUUCAAAGGUACCCUCAGCACGCUUGGUAACCGUGCGUAGAGUGCAAUAGCAUAAGGGUGCUUGACUGAGAGACUUACAAGUCGAUCAGGUAGGAAACUAGGAUAUAGUGAUCCGGUGGUUCCGAAUGGAAGGGCCAUCGCUCAAAGGAUAAAAGGUACUCCGGGGAUAACAGGCUGAUCACUCCCAAGAGCUCAUAUCGACGGAGUGGUUUGGCACCUCGAUGUCGGCUCGUCACAUCCUGGGGCUGGAGAAGGUCCCAAGGGUUCGGCUGUUCGCCGAUUAAAGUGGCACGUGAGCUGGGUUCAGAACGUCGCGAGACAGUUCGGUCCCUAUCUGUUGUGGGCGUUGGAAACUUGAGGGCACCUGACCCUAGUACGAGAGGGCCGGGUUGGACGAACCUCUAGUGUAUCUGUUGUGGCGCCAGCUGCAUCGCAGAGUAGCUAUGUUCGGAUGAGAUAAGCGCUGAAAGCAUCUAAGCGCGAAACUCAGCCCAAGAUGAGGUUUCCUUUAAGGAUCGUCAUAGACCAUGACGUUGAUAGGCUGCAGAUGUAAAGCCAGUAAUGGCAAAGUCGAGCAGUACUAAUUAUCCGUAGCUUUCUGCU
rnacentral:rRNA from 1 species